CUCAGAGACCCCAUGGACUGCAGCCUUCCAGGCUCCUCCGCCCAUGGGAUAUUCCAGGUUGGUUCUCUCUGAAGCGGUGAUGAGAUCCUCCAAUUCAGAUGACAAAUGGAGAAUGCACAUGCAGUGUAAGAUGCUCUGCAAGCCCUGCCGCCAGCCAUCUCCCACCCUCUGAAGGCCAACCCCUGGCCACUCACAGCCUAGUUAGGGCUACCCCUGCAGGACUCGCCAUGACUGAGGGACCAGCCAGCCUCAAGCCACCUGGAGUCAGCUUUGCUAUUUCCUCUAGAGCCAGGAAAUGCAGUUUUCUUCAGGUGAGUCAAGGCAGAAAGUCUAGUGAACACCACAGCAUAAAAAGAGCCUGCCAGCCAACUGUCUUCUGUUCCCACCCCCAGAGGUGCCAUCUCAGCAUCCACACUGCUCUAAGUUGUAUCACCCAGCCACAGAGCUGUUCAGACAAUUCCUUGAUUAAACAACACUGCCUUCUUCAGUUUACAUUUUAUUUUACAAAAAGAGAAAUAAAGAAAACUGAUAGGCAGUUAUACUGACUUACAAUUGUUCUGUUUGCUUUUUUAAAAAAGUGACAUGAAACACAAGUAAAAAUAAAUACGUCAUAGAAACAGCCAGUUGCCCAGUCUCUAGGGCAGGAGCACCUGCCCUGCUGAGAGAGGAGGGAAGCCCGUGAUCACACCAGCAGCUGGAGCACUCAGCUACAGGUGCUCCUCAAAGCCAGGCGCAGGUCCCAGGCCUCAGGGGGCGUCCUGAGGAAAGAAGACGGAAAACCAAAGCCAGGUGCCAG
ensembl:lncRNA